GCUGGGUUCCAUGGAGAGGGAGGAGAUUUUUCAGUUCUGCUGUCGUUUUGCUGACUAAGUUUGAUGUUCAUUGAAUGCUGUUUUACGUCAGAGCUCAGCAGGUCAAUCAGUAUGAAGUUAGCACAGAGCCAACGGCUUGGCGCCCUCCUGCUCUCCAGCUUCCAGUUCUCUGUUGAAAAACUUGAACCUUUCUUAAAGAACACUAAGGACUUCAGCCUUGAAUGUUUUAGAGCCAAAGCAUCUUCUCUCUCUGAAGAAUUGAAACAUUUUACAGACAGGCUGGGAAAUGAUGGAACUCUACAAAAAUGUUUUGUUGAAGAUUCAAAAGAAAAAGCACCAGAUUUCUCACUGGAAGCAUCAGUAGCUGAGGUGAAAGAAUAUAUAACAAAGUUUUCUUUAGAGCGUCAGGCCUGGGAUCGGCUCUUACUGCAGUACCAGAACGAGGUUCC
rnacentral:lncRNA from 1 species